rnacentral:rRNA from 1 species
CAAGGUUAACUUGAAAUAUUGACUUAGCAAGAGUGUACUAAUAAGCAGUCUUUCUGAAAUAAUGUAUUAGGUUCUUCCAACUCGUUAUAUCAGCUAGGCAGGUUUAGAAGUAUUUUAGGCUCGGCUUAACAACAAUAAACUAAAAGUUUGACCUCAAAUCAGGUAGGACUACCCGCUGAACUUAAGCAUAUCAAUAAGCGGAGGAAAAGAAACCAACAGGGAUUGCCUCAGUAACGGCGAGUGAAGCGGCAAAAGCUCAAAUUUGAAAUCUAGCACCUUCGGUGUUCGAGUUGUAAUUUGAAGAUGGUAACCUUGGGUUUGGCUCUUGUCUAUGUUCCUUGGAACAGGACGUCAUAGAGGGUGAGAAUCCCGUCUGAUGAGAUGCCCAUUCCUAUGUAAGGUGCUAUCGAAGAGUCGAGUUGUUUGGGAAUGCAGCUCUAAGUGGGUGGUAAAUUCCAUCUAAAGCUAAAUAUUGGCGAGAGACCGAUAGCGAACAAGUACAGUGAUGGAAAGAUGAAAAGAACUUUGAAAAGAGAGUGAAAAAGUACGUGAAAUUGUUGAAAGGGAAGGGCAUUAGAUCAGACUUGGUGUUUUACGAUUAUCUUCUCUUCUUGAGUUGUGCACUCGUAUUUCACUGGGCCAGCAUCGAUUCGGAUGGCAAGAUAAUGGCAGUUGAAUGUGGCUUCACUUCGGUGGAGUGUUAUAGCUUCUGCUGAUAUUGCCUGUCUGGAUCGAGGGCUGCGUCUUUUGACUAGGAUGCUGGCGUAAUGAUCUAAUGCCGCCCGUCUUGAAACACGGACCAAGGAGUCUAACGUCUAUGCGAGUGUUUGGGUGUAAAACCCGUACGCGUAAUGAAAGUGAACGUAGGUGAGAGCUCUUUUUUGAGUGCAUCAUCGACCGAUCCUGAUGUUUUCGGAUGGAUUUGAGUAAGAG